CCUCCUUUCUAAGGAUGAAUAAAAGUAAAAUUUUAUUCUAAAUAAUAUACAGGUUAAUGUUGACCGUCCUCAUUUCUCUUCUUGAAGUAGUGUUUCUCUUUUCUGCAUAGGGCCGGUAGCUCAGUUGGUUAGAGCACACCCUUGAUAAGGGUGGGGUCGAAAGUUCGAGUCUUUCUCGGCCCACCAAUACAUGGGGGAUUAGCUCAGCUGGGAGAGCGCCUGAUUUGCAUUCAGGAGGUCAGCGGUUCGAUCCCGCUAUCCUCCACCACGAAACAUUUAGUUAUUUAAUUUGUAAAUAAAUUUUAAUAUUAUCAAUAUCUAUAUCCGAACAUUAAUUUGUUUAUUAAUGUUCAAACAAAAAUUUGAUCCAACACAGAAUUUUUUUCUGUGCAUAAAUCAAGCGUUUAAGGGCGUGUGGCGGAUGCCUGGGCACUGAAAGCCGAUGAAGGACGUGGUAUACUGCGAUAAGUUACGGGGAGCCGUAUGCAAGUUUUGAUCCGUAAAUUCCGAAUGGGG
rnacentral:misc_RNA from 1 species